rnacentral:rRNA from 1 species
AACGAACGCUGGCGGCAUGCCUUACACAUGCAAGUCGAACGAGACCUUCGGGUCUAGUGGCGCACGGGUGCGUAACGCGUGGGAACCUGCCCUUAGGUUCGGAAUAACUCCCCGAAAGGGGUGCUAAUACCGGAUAAUGUCUUCGGACCAAAGAUUUAUCGCCUUUGGAUGGGCCCGCGUUGGAUUAGCUAGUUGGUAGGGUAAAAGCCUACCAAGGCGACGAUCCAUAGCUGGUCUGAGAGGAUGAUCAACCACACUGGGACUGAGACACGGCCCAGACUCCUACGGGAGGCAGCAGUGGGGAAUAUUGGACAAUGGGCGAAAGCCUGAUCCAGCAAUGCCGCGUGAGUGAUGAAGACCUUAGGGUUGUAAAGCUCUUUUACCCGGGAUGAUAAUGACAGUACCGGGAGAAUAAGCUCCGGCUAACUCCGUG